rnacentral:rRNA from 1 species
AUUGAACGCUGGCGGCAUGCCUUACACAUGCAAGUCGAACGGCAGCACGGGAGCAAUCCUGGUGGCGAGUGGCGAACGGGUGAGUAAUAUAUCGGAACGUGCCCAGUCGUGGGGGAUAACGUAGCGAAAGCUACGCUAAUACCGCAUACGAUCUACGGAUGAAAGCGGGGGAUCGCAAGACCUCGCGCGAUUGGAGCGGCCGAUAUCAGAUUAGGUAGUUGGUGAGGUAAAGGCUCACCAAGCCGACGAUCUGUAGCUGGUCUGAGAGGACGACCAGCCACACUGGGACUGAGACACGGCCCAGACUCCUACGGGAGGCAGCAGUGGGGAAUUUUGGACAAUGGGCGCAAGCCUGAUCCAGCAAUGCCGCGUGCAGGAUGAAGGCC